UCCUACGGGAGGCAGCAGUGAGGGAUAUUGCACAAUGGGGGAAACCCUGAUGCAGCGACGCCGCGUGAGCGAUGAAGCCCUUCGGGGUGUAAAGCUCUUUCGGCGGGAACGAUUAUGAUGGUACCCGCAGAAGAAGCUGCGGCUAACUACGUGCCAGCAGCCGCGGUAAUA
rnacentral:rRNA from 1 species